rnacentral:rRNA from 1 species
UGGGGAAUAUUGGACAAUGCGGGAAACUGUGAUCCAGCAAUGCCGCGUGAGUGAUGAAGGCCUUAGGGUUGUAAAGCUCUUUUACCAGGGAUGAUAAUGACAGUACCUGGAGAAUAAGCUCCGGCUAACUACGUGCCAGCAGCCGCGGUAAUACGUAGGGGGCGAGCGUUGUCCGGAAUUAUUGGGCAUAAAGAGCGUGUAGGCGGCCUGGUAAGUCUGCCGUGAAAACCUGGGGCUCAACCCUGGGCGUGCGGUGGAUACUGCCAGGCUAGAGGAUGGUAGAGGCGAGUGGAAUUCCCGGUGUAGCGGUGAAAUGCGCAGAUAUCGGGAGGAACACCAGUAGCGAAGGCGGCUCGCUGGGCCAUUCCUGACGCUGAGACGCGAAAGCGUGGGGAGCAAACAGGAUUAGAUACCCCGG